UAAUAUAUCGGAACGUACCCUAGAGUGGGGGAUAACGUAGCGAAAGUUACGCUAAUACCGCAUACGAUCUACGGAUGAAAGCAGGGGACCGCAAGGCCUUGUGCUCCUGGAGCGGCCGAUAUCUGAUUAGCUAGUUGGUAGGGUAAAGGCCUACCAAGGCAUCGAUCAGUAGCUGGUCUGAGAGGACGACCAGCCACACUGGAACUGAGACACGGUCCAG
rnacentral:rRNA from 1 species